ensembl:lncRNA
CAAACUGCCAGUUUUCUUGCCAGAAAUCGAACUUUAAAGCUCGACUUACAGAAAGUUCAGCCGUCAAAGUAUUCAGUGAAAAAUGAUUUACCGUACUUUAAGUGAAUAUGAAACACAAACAGAGAUGAAUUUCCCCGACGCACUAUUUAUAAAGCUUCCUGUAAAUGCUGUACAUGAGAAUAUCAGUAUUAUUUUAAGAAGGUGGGAUGCUUUCAAAUACAUUUUUAACCAGUUCUGACAGAUGUUGGUGCCAGUGUUUACCCUUCCAGGGACUGUUCACAUGGGCAGAAAGGGAUUAUUGACUGAUUAUUGAUGUAGCUUUCCUUUCAAAAUGCCAUGAAGGUUUCUGUUCUAACUUAAGGAAAAGUCAAAGUGCAGAGAGAUGGGAUGUUUGAUACCUUGUAUGACACAUUUAAGUUAGUUUUUCAUAAACACUGAAAACAUGGGGAAAGCUAACCGGCUCUGUCCAAAGAAAACACCACCUAUCAGCACCGAAGCAUUCAUCCUGUUUCUGUGUUUAGUACAGGAACAGCUUUGUUAGACAGAGCUCACUUAUUGCUAACAGUCGCUUUGCUGCACCAAGCUGGCUGCCUUUCAUAUUUAGCUUUGUUCCAUGUUUUUCUCUUCUUCUCAGAAAUACUUAAGGGCAAAGAAGAGAACUAACUAAAGAGCAUGCGCAUAUAAAAUAGACGGUACAACACUCAGGUCAAAGGACCAAAAUUAUUCAUAAUACAUGUAAAAUGUGUUUUUACUUUAGCCUCACUUUUACCGUGACUUUUCGUUAACCUGUGAAAAGAAAGAAAUGCAAUCCGAUAUCAGCACACCGCUAUAAAUCCUUGUCCUGUGAAGCUUUCUGUUUGUGUUUGUUAUUGAGGUCAUAGAGGGCAGUGAUGUGGGAAGGAAGGGAGGCAGCCUAUGUAGCCUACACGUCCUCACUGCCUGAAACCUCCAUAAUCAGGUAAAAUCAUAAGAACCUUUGAGGAAUGUCAGCAAAGAAUCUAAAUGAUGAGUUGUUAGCAGAACUGCUGUGUUAGAUUGCAUUCGCGUUCACAGGUGAGCCUAAUAACUAAAGCUGCAUUAGUUGACUUUUGACCACUAGGGACCAGACAAACUCAAAAACAAAUUAUCUUUAACUUUUAGACACAUUAAAUAUUCUCCCCGUGCAAUGAAGUCCGACUUAUUUUAGCUCAGGAGUCCCCGCCAUCUCUCACUGUCUUCACCACCCAGCUGUUUGUUCCAGCUGUGCUUUUAGCUUUUUUAUGAAGAGCUAAAACAAUGUAAUCUGUCAGUACUGAGCUUGGAAAAUUGAUCUACCCUUUCACAGUCUGCCAAUACAGAGCCAUGUCAUUCAGUUUUAAUAUGAAAAUUGCUUAAUGGCCCUUGGAGCUCGUUCGAUCCUUUCAUGAUUAGCCUGAACGAGGUUCUCUGGUACGUGUUACGUUUGCAGGAACAAAGCUUUGUUGUAAGUACAAUAAGCUGGAAUUUAAAAAAAGACUUACUGUAUGUGGAACAUCUUUCUUUCCAGAGUAUUCUCUAAAUGGCUUUUUUAUUAAGGUGGAAAAAGGUUUUGGAGAGAGAAAGCUAUUUAUUUAUAAGUGGAUUUCCUUGCAACCACCAUGCAUCUGACUGCAAUAGCAAAAGGCACAGAUUUGUGUUUUCAGCAAAGAAAUAGCUUGCAACUAUCCACACUCAGUCCUGUGUGCCAAUGUAUAGAACAUGUAUAUAGCAUUGAGUGCAUAAAUAUUUAUUGAAAGUUAAAGGGUUCUGCUUUGUUGUCGCAGCGUGUGCAGCAGCCGGCCGAUAAGCUGCAUUGGAUAAACCAUUGAAAACUGAUCACCUCUUUCUCCGGUCAUAUUUUCACAUUGGAAGCAGAUUUGUGCUUGUUAACAAACACAGUAGACUAGAAAUGACAUUGUUUUUGCAAACAAUUAGAUGUAAAUAUACAUGCUCAAUUUUGAGAUGUUUUACUUGUCAGAAAGCUGUUUUUUCACAGCUGUUUUGUAGAAGUCUUUAUCCGAGUCGUUGCAACGCAGCAGCGUGAACUGACCAGACAGAUGCUUUAUUUUAACCGAUAAAACAUGAAUAGCGUAGUACCAGUAAAGCUGUUUUAUGCUGUUUGUAGUUGGCAGUAUUUUCAUUUUCCUCCCAGUUCUUUUCACAUCAUUUACUUGCUGCCUAUAAACACUGCUGCUAAUGCUAUAGAGAGCUUGUAAUGAUAACUAGAGUAGCCGUAGAUGUUACUUUGACAAUCCCUGAGCCUCAGACAGCUGUUAUUGCAUAGGAUUUUCCAUGUACUGUAUCAAUACCCCUGUGCUGUCCAUGCAUUGAAGUAUUGGAUUGUCAUGAACGCAAGUCACUCUGUUCUAUUUGCUUUACUAUGUAUUUGUGUAGAUUGAAGUGUACACUACUGAUGCUGUUUGUUGUAAUGGGGAGCAC